AGCAACCCUAGUGACAGGAGUCGAAGUAGCAGCGCAGAUUGUCCCCGUUUCCCCUCCCCCUUCCCUUCUCCGGUUGCCUUCCUGGGCCCCCUACACAUCACAGUCCCGGUCCCGCCAUGUCCCAGAAACAAGAAGAGAACCCUGCGGAGGAGACCGGUGAGGAGAAGCAGGACGCGCAGGAGAAAGAAGGCAUUCUCCCUGAGAGAGCUGAAGAGGCAAAGCUAAAGGCCAAAUACCCAAGCCUAGGACAAAAGCCUGGAGGUUCUGAUUUACUCAUGAAGAGACUCCAGAAAGGGCAAAACUACUUUGACUCAGGAGACUACAACAUGGCCAAAGCCAAGAUGAAGAAUAAGCAGCUGCCAAGUGCAGGACCAGACAAGAACCUGGUGACUGGUGACCACAUCCCCACCCCACAGGAUCUGCCCCAGAGAAAGUCCUCGCUCGUCACCAGCAAGCUUGCAGGGUAACCUGAGCCCCCCUCUCUUCCCCUUCCUCAACCACUGGACUUUUAUAUAUUAUAGGCAGGGAUCAAAUGGUCACCUAGUGAGAUCUCAGCUUGCUAGCCAGAAAUGACUGUGAUUCUUCUGGGAGCUGCUGAGAAGGUAAUGUAGGUUAAAGAGGGGCUCUGAGUUCAUUACUUUGGUUAAAUUGAGACUUCCACACCCACCCUGUAGUCCAGGUAGGGCCCAGAUAUAGGAAAGACUAGGAUUGGAAAAACUGCAGAUGCCUUUUUUGUGUGAGAAACUGGAGAGAUGUGAUUUCUCUUUUUUGGAGAGAAUGUCCCAAAAUUGAUUACGCUGAGCCUUUGGAAUAAUUUGGCAGGUUAACAAAUUAUUAACAUCCCAAGGCUAACAUAACAUAGUUGGGAAAGGUAGAUUGAGUAAGACGUGUUUUCUGUGCUUCUAAGUGUUCUGUCCCUUGGGCUGCUAUUGCUUCGGGUUUCCAUUAUGGCAGGUUUAGAAAAUCCUUAAAAAGAAAAAUUGAUUUGCUUGCCAAAAGCUACAAUGCCCCCUUAGGCUUCAUUACUUAGUAUCUCUUACAGUUUGCUCUGGCUCUCAAAUAAUGUAAAGAUUGAUGAAUAUUAUUCACAGAAAAUGGGCACCUUCUCUCUCUUUUCCAGCAUGUUGCUUUUGAAAGUAUCAUGGGAUAGUGGGAAGAGCAUCGGUUUAGGAGUCAAGAUAUCUGGGUUCUGGUUCUACUCAGUCUCGGCAGAGCUGACGUAUAACCUUGGUUAAGUCAUUUAGCCUCUGGAUUUCUAUUUCCUCAUCUGUAAAAUAGAAUUAAAUGUAUGU